AUUGAACGCUGGCGGCAGGCUUAACACAUGCACGUCGAGCGAGCGGCGGACGGGUGAGUAAUGUCUGGGAACUGCCUGAUGGAGGGGGAUAACUACUGGAAACGGUAGCUAAUACCGCAUACUAUCGGAUAACCAAUAUGGGAUUAGCUAGUAGGUGAGGUAAUGGCUCACCUAGGCGACGAUACCUAGCUGGUCUGAGAGGAUGAUCAGCACAACUGGUACUGAGACCCGGCCCACAUUCCUACGGGGGCAGCAGUGGGAAAUAUUGCAGAAUGGGCGCAAGCCUGAUGCAGCCAUGCCGCGUGUACGAAGAAGGCGCUAGGGUUGUAAAGUACUUUCAGUCGGGAGGCGUUACCGACAGAAGAAGCAACGGCUAACUCCGUGCCAGCAGCCGCGGUAAUUC
rnacentral:rRNA from 1 species